rnacentral:rRNA from 1 species
CGAACGCUGGCGGCGUGCUUAACACAUGCAAGUCGAACGGUAAGGCCCCUUCGGGGGUACACGAGUGGCGAACGGGUGAGUAACACGUGAGCAACCUGCCCUUGACUCUGGAAUAACAGUUGGAAACAGCUGCUAAUACUGGAUAUUCAUCGUCUCCUUCCUGGGGGGUGGUGGAAAGCUCCGGCGGUCAGGGAUGGGCUCGCGGCCUAUCAGCUUGUUGGUGAGGUAAUGGCUCACCAAGGCUUCGACGGGUAGCCGGCCUGAGAGGGCGACCGGCCACACUGGGACUGAGAUACGGCCCAGACUCCUACGGGAGGCAGCAGUGGGGAAUAUUGCACAAUGGGCGCAAGCCUGAUGCAGCAACGCCGCGUGCGGGAUGACGGCCUUCGGGUUGUAAACCGCUUUCAGUAGGGACGAAGGGUGACUGACGGUACCUACAGAAGAAGGACCGGCUAACUACGUG